rnacentral:rRNA from 1 species
UACGUAGGGGGCAAGCGUUGUCCGGAAUCAUUGGGCGUAAAGAGCGUGUAGGCGGCUCGGUAAGUCCGCUGUGAAAGCCCAGGGCUCAACCCUGGAAUGCCGGUGGAAACUGUCGAGCUAGAGUCCGGAAGAGGCGAGUGGAAUUCCUGGUGUAGCGGUGAAAUGCGCAGAUAUCAGGAGGAACACCAAUGGCGAAGGCAGCUCGCUGGGACGGUACUGACGCUGAGACGCGAAAGCGUGGGGAGCAAACAGG